ensembl:lncRNA
GCACUUCCGGUCACGCGGGGUCGAGCGCGGCUCCCGCAGGGGGCGUGCGUGGGGGCAAAGGAAGCUCCGCGCGUGCGGGGGAGCCUUUCGGCCCCGGCCCGCCCCGGGGGACUUCAGUGUCCCAUGCCUGGGGACCGCAGCGCCCUCUGACCCGAGACCCCAACCCCGGGGACCCCGGUGCCCCCUGCCCCGAGACCCCGGUCCCACCCCUGGGGACCCCAUCGCCCCCUGCCUCCAGACCCCAGCCACACCCCUGGGGGCCGCAGCGCCCCCUGCCCCGAGACCCCGGCCCCACCCUGAGGGACCCUGCUGCUCCACCCCUGGGCACCGCAGCUCCCGCUGCCCUGGAGACGCCGGCCCCACCCCUGGGGACCCCGGCGCCCUCUGCCCCUUGAGACGUGCGCGAGGUCCCGCGGCCCUGAGCGCGCGCGCCCCGUCCCGAAACCCGGCUCCCCUUCCUCAUCCGACCAUGAUUCAGGGAGCGGCUGCUGGCUGCCAGACCUGCCCUCGGCACCCUCCCCAGGCCCCACGACGAUGGAGGGAGGCGAUGACCCCCUACGGGGUCUCGUGGAGGCGUCCCUCUGGCCAGCGUGCUGUGAGACUCAGACGAGGUGGGGCGAUCCCUGGCCGCUGAUGGAUCGCCCAGACUGGAACCAGUGGGCCCGGGGUCCACAGCUCACCGGCCCUGCUUCCUGGGCCACUAGUGCGGGCAGGGCCAACGCUGGGUAAGCGUCGGGGAGGGUACCCCGGAAUGGGGGAGGACGAGGACUGAAGGAGCCAGUGGGCCGGGUACCUGAAGGUUUUCGAAGGCACCAGGCUCGCCCCUCAACAGGACCUGCCCUCCAUGAGGUUGUCUCUGCCCAAAUCUCCCCCUCAGCUGACUGCAGUCCUCCAGAGGCCAAGCAGAGAGCUGCUACCCGUGGGCCCCUUGGUUUCCUCCCCUCUCGAAGGGUCUCCUUCCCACAGCCCCUGGGAGCCUGUCUUUCCUCUGGUCCUGUGACAGGCAGAAUCCCCAAACCUCAUCCCGCCCAGGUCACUGAGUGAUACAGGCAUGCGGAGGCCCCACGCUCUGCCCAGUUCAGUGUCUCCCAGUUCUAGAGGUUGGGAAGUCCAAGAUCAAGGCGUUGGCAGAUCCAUUGUCUGAGAGAGCCUCUCCCUGCCCCAGUCUCUCCCUCGGAUUUCUGCAUCUGCCCAGGCCCUGAGUCCAUCCUUGCCUCCUGCCUGGCAGUGCAGGGCAGCCUAGGGGAAAGGGCGGACAGGAGGAGCAGAGAUGACAAGCAGAAAGAAACAGCCAGGAGUGGGGUCUGGCCUGCAGACAGACGAGGCACGAGGGUUUUAGCAAAAAUCCCAUCAAGUCGGUUUAGCCAGAAUCUCCAUCCUCGAUAUUUGAUCACCCUCCAUAUCUGAUCGAAGUCUCCCCACACCAUCCCCAGGAGAGUUCUGGUCACCCUGGCCUGCCUUCAGCAAGAAUCCAGUAGGGUCUGUUUAACCAGAGUCCCCCAAACCCUACCCCUGAUGUUUCUCUUAGUGAUUUUCCAUCCGCUGACUUCCUCCCACCUGCUCCUUGGCUGUGAAUCCACACUCGUCCUUGCCGUAUGUGGAAUUGAGUCCAGUUCUAUUCUGAAGUCUCUUUUCCCCUAUUGCAUUAGAUCUUAAAUAAAAUCUGCUUUAGC